GCCGUCGAGUUUUGUGGCAUCUUGCCAAGUCAGCUGACGAGAAGCCGCGGUCUUUGCCAGAAGAUAAGCAGAGAGGAUUCAAGGUCGGAAGAAGAUGCGACAAAUUCCUAUUUCACGCACCGGUGAGAUCACGCAGAUUUACAAACAGCAGGAAAGAUGGCUUGGAGAAAGAAUGCUACUGUUUGAAGACUGCACUGACCUGCAUGAUUGCUGGACAAUAUUGUAAUCAUAUACACCCCCAAACACAUCUUCAGAUGACUAUUUUACUGAUCUGGAACUGUUCCAUUAAAUAUGAAAUGUAAUGAUCCACAGAACGGCUCUAUAAAGAAUUGUGCUGUCCUAAUCUCUGAAGAGCAAAUCAUAUUAAUGUAUCUUCCAUAUGUUUCUCAGAAUCAUAACAAAAUAAAAUAUUGCUCAAAUUCAAUGUCCUUCAAGAAAAAUUUACUAUUAGAGUUAUAACUUGAUUCACAUAUAAUGUUUUCUUUCUUAUAUUUAUUUUGCAUAUUUGAUUGGAAACCAAUUGCAGUUCACCAAAUGAUGAUAUUUAUAGAUCCCAUUUGAACGUUAAAUUUUAGACCAUUCUGAGUAUGGAUGUAUUUGUUAUUUGAGAAUAUUCAGUACUUAACUUUUGAAGGAUAAUAAAAAUUUCCUUGUGGGCAUCUCA
rnacentral:misc_RNA from 1 species